CUAAAUCACCCACAUUAACGUAUUUCAGUCCCGAUCUUGCAGCAAGUUCUUUGCCUAGUGUGGUUUUCCCAACCCCUGGUGUACCCUGUUUAAAGUCUUUC